CGACACCAUCGACAACGUCAAGGCCAAGAUCCAAGACAAGGAAGGGAUCCCACCCGACCAGCAGCGUCUCAUUUUCGCUGGCAAACAGCUCGAAGACGGUCGGACCCUUGCUGAUUAUAACAUCCAGAAAGAAUCCACCCUCCACCUCGUCUUACGCCUUCGUGGGGGCAUGCAAAUCUUUGUCAAAACCUUAACCGGCAAGACCAUCACCCUCGAAGUCGAGAGUUCCGACACCAUCGACAACGUUAAGGCCAAGAUUCAAGACAAGGAAGGAAUCCCACCUGACCAACAGCGUUUGAUCUUCGCUGGCAAACAAUUGGAAGAUGGGAGGACCUUGGCUGAUUAUAAUAUCCAAAAGGAAUCCACCCUUCACCUUGUUUUGAGGCUUCGUGGAGGGAUGCAGAUUUUUGUCAAGACUUUGACAGGCAAAACAAUCACCUUGGAGGUUGAAAGCUCCGAUACCAUUGACAAUGUUAAGGCAAAGAUUCAGGAUAAGGAAGGAAUCCCACCUGAUCAGCAAAGGCUCAUCUUUGCCGGCAAACAAUUGGAAGAUGGGAGGACUUUGGCUGAUUAUAACAUUCAGAAAGAGUCUACCCUUCACCUUGUUCUUCGUCUCCGUGGUGGCCACUGAUAAUUCUAACGCAACCAUCUUGCCUUGGUUUCAAGUUUUAAAGUGCUUGUGUGUCUUUCUAAGUUGGAUUUCUGGGUCUUGUCCCCUUUGUAAUACUUUUUACUUCUCCUCUGGAGU
rnacentral:lncRNA from 1 species